GUGCUUGUUUUGGCAGCACAUAUACUAAAAUUGGAAUGAUACAGAGAAGAUUAGCAUGGCCCCUGCGCAAGGAUGACACACAAAAUUAACUGGUCUCACUUAUCUGG